rnacentral:misc_RNA from 1 species
AACUUACACUAAAAGAAAACUUUGGAUAGAACGGAGCAGGAGGGAGAUUCUCAGUGUCAGAUAUAAAUUGUCAGAUAAUGACAUGUUGUUGUCAAGUGCUCUAUAAAUCAUUUUACAUGUGUCAUAACAUAAAAUAAAAACAAUUGACCAAAUAUUUAAGCAAUAAUUAAAUAAGAAUAUACGUAACAAAGCUAUGACACUUUAACUUUAACUUCGAUAUUGUUUAGUCAAGAUAAUAAGGUUGACAUUACUCAGGAUCAAAUAUAGUCAAAAAACAUGGGAGCAAGUAAAAGUCAAUUUUCUGAAGAAGAAUUACAAGAUUAUCAGGAUCUGACAUAUUUUACGAAAAAGGAAGUUUUAUAUGCUCAUCAAAAAUUCAAAGCUCUUGCACCGGAAAAAGUUGGUCACAAUAGAAACGCGAAGUUACCUAUGUCAAAAAUUCUCAGAUAUUCUGAAUUACGUGUAAAUCCAUUUGGAGACCGAAUUUGUAAAGUUUUCAGCUCAAGCCAAGAUGGCGAUUGCACUUUUGAAGAUUUUUUAGAUAUGAUGUCAGUAUUUAGCGAUGCUGCUCCAAAAGCAGUCAAAGCAGAGCAUGCCUUUCGUAUUUUUGACUUUGAUGGAGAUGAUAUGCUAGGAAUGGGUGAUUUACGACAAGUAAUUGAUAGAUUAACAGCUCCACAAAGAUUGAGUGAAAAUGACAUGCAGCGUCUGCUUCAAUACCUAUUAGAUGAAGCUGAUCUUGACGAUGAUGGUGCUUUAAGCUUUGCUGAAUUUGAACACAUCAUUGAAAAAAGCAGUGAUUUUUCGAAAACCUUUAGGAUUAAUCUUUGAGACAAAAAUUUUUAAACAUACUUCGAGGAUGACAGAAAAUGUAUAUAGAAUGAUAAAUAUUAUAAUUUAUCAUAAUCCGCAGUUAAUUUUAGCUUUCUCAAUGAACAUAUUCGAUAAUUCUAGAAUAUACUCGAAUAAGACUGAUCGAUUAUUUUUAUUUAUUUUUUUCAACUUUAUUCAUUUUCUCUUAAAAUGGUUUAUUUAAAUAUGCUUGUGUUUUCUUUUUUUUCGUCAAAAAAAAAAAUUACACUAUAUUUUGGUACAGUUCAGGUACAAAGCAUUCUGUGUACACUCAGUCUAAUUUAAUACAGAGCACCGUCUCUAAAAAAAUCCUAGUUUUGUCUCGGAUUUUCUAGGUCACUCACAAAACCAAGAAAAAACAACCUGCGACAUCACAAAGAGGGUACACCAAUAAUUUGCUAAGUUAUAGCUAUACUUCAUCUAUUUACAAUUCAUAUAACACACAUAUUUCGUAAAAAACAUAACCUACUGUAAUGAGAUGUAGGUUUGGAGACACGAAUCUUGGAAAUUUUAUUUCUUGUAAGCAUACGUUGAAUAUUUUUUAAAUUUAUUUAUAUCAAUAAAAAUGAUUUUUCAUUGUUAAUUUAAUAAAAUUGAAUUUUAAAAAAUAUCCUCAAUCUAUUUUAAUUUCAUAAAAAACUAAAGAAAAAAAGAACGUUCGAGGUAAUUGUCUAAAGGAUGGAAAGACGGGUUAAUACAUUCCUAUGAAAAUACGAAUUUAUUUUGUACAAUUUUUUCGCAAUCGUCUUUGCAUUAGAUAUAUAUUUUUGCAAAGUGUUAGUUCCCUUACUUAUGUAUAUGUAUUGACGUCCCCUCCUAUUCCGACCUUACCUGUUGUUCUUCUUUAAACUGAAUUUUCAUAACAACAAAGGCUACGAAGACUGGCAUUGUAGAUUGUCUGUUUAUUUAUUAAUUUAUUGAUAAUAGAUGCCAAGGCACAGGCCGAAUAGCAAGGUAUUUUAAAUUA